GACGAACGCUGGCGGCGUGCCUAAUACAUGCAAGUAGAACGCUGAAGGAGGAGCUUGCUUCUCUGGAUGAGUUGCGAACGGGUGAGUAACGCGUAGGUAACCUGCCUGGUAGCGGGGGAUAACUAUUGGAAACGAUAGCUAAUACCGCAUAAGAGUAGAUGUUGCAUGACAUUUGCUUAAAAGGUGCAAUUGCAUCACUACCAGAUGGACCUGCGUUGUAUUAGCUAGUUGGUGGGGUAACGGCUUACCAAGGCGACGAUACAUAGCCGACCUGAGAGGGUGGUCGGCCACACUGGGACUGAGACACGGCCCAGACUCCUACGGGAGGCAGCAGUAGGGAAUCUUCGGCAAUGGACGGAAGUCUGACCGAGCAACGCCGAGUGAGUGAAGAAGGUUUUCGGAUCGUAAAGCUCUGUUGUAAGAGAAGAACGAGUGUGAGAGUGGAAAGUUCACACUGUGACGGUAUCUUACCAGAAAGGGACGGCUAACUACGUG
rnacentral:rRNA from 1 species